rnacentral:rRNA from 1 species
CAUGCAAGUCGAGCGGAUGACGGGAGCUUGCUCCUUGAUUCAGCGGCGGACGGGUGAGUAAUGCCUAGGAAUCUGCCUGGUAGUGGGGGACAACGUUUCGAAAGGAACGCUAAUACCGCAUACGUCCUACGGGAGAAAGCAGGGGACCUUCGGGCCUUGCGCUAUCAGAUGAGCCUAGGUCGGAUUAGCUAGUUGGUGGGGUAAUGGCUCACCAAGGCGACGAUCCGUAACUGGUCUGAGAGGAUGAUCAGUCACACUGGAACUGAGACACGGUCCAGACUCCUACGGGAGGCAGCAGUGGGGAAUAUUGGACAAUGGGCGAAAGCCUGAUCCAGCCAUGCCGCGUGUGUGAAGAAGGUCUUCGGAUUGUAAAGCACUUUAAGUUGGGAGGAAGGGCAGUAAGUUAAUACCUUGCUGUUUUGACGUUACCGACAGAAUAAGCACCGGCUAACUCUGUGCCAGCA